CCGAGAGAUCGGGUCUCCACUUCGGUGGCCUGGAGACAGGUGCUGCAUGGCUGUCGUCAGCUCGUGUCGUGAGAUGUUCGGUUAAGUCCGGCAACGAGCGCAACCCACACUUUCAGUUGCCAUCAUUCAGUUGGGCACUCUGGAAGAACUGCCGAUGAUAAGUCGGAGGAAGGUGUGGAUGACGUCAAGUCCUCAUGGCCCUUACGGGUUGGGCUACACACGUGCUACAAUGGUGGUGACAGUGGGUUAAUCCCCAAAAGCCAUCUCAGUUCGGAUUGGGGUCUGCAACUCGACCCCAUGAAGUUGGAAUCGCUAGUAAUCGCGUAACAGCACGACGCGGUGAAUACGUUCCCGGGCCUUGUACACACCGCCCGUCACACCAUGGGAGUUGGGUCUACCCGACGGCCGUGCGCUAACCCUUACGGGAGGCAGCGGACCACGGUAGGCUCAGCGACUGGGGUGAAGUCGUAACAAGGUAGCCGUAGGGGAACCUGCGGCUGGAUCACCUC
rnacentral:rRNA from 1 species